GGGCAAGCUGAACUGCUAAAGCUUCUGAAAGAGUUUCUCAUUGAAAUCUGGAGCUCUCCCGUUCCACUAGGCCUGAUGAGCGCCCAGGAUCCUGUGAGCCCCAGGAGACUCCUAUGUGUCCAUCCUCCAGUGAUGGAGUUACUUACACAGAAGUGUUGCUAUGCCCAGCUUCUUACACAAAUCCUGAACCUGACUCCUUGUGCUUGGCAAGCACCUUGCUGAUUGAGCUGUCUCCCCAGAUCCUCAAAAUGAGUUUAUUCUUGGGAGAGCUUAGAAGGAACGGGCAACAGCUGUUGACGUGAGAAGACAAAAAACUUC
rnacentral:lncRNA from 1 species